AGCGGUGAAAUGCGUAGAGAUCUGAAGGAAUACCAGUGGCGAAGGCGGCCCCNUGGACAGACACUGACACUCANAUGCGAAAGCGUGGGGAGCAAACAGGAUUAGAUACCCUGGUAGUCCACGCCGUAAACGAUGUCUACUUGGAGGUUGUGGCCUUGAGCCGUGGCUUUCGGAGCUAACGCGUUAAGUAGACCGCCUGGGGAGUACGGUCGCAAGAUUAAAACUCAAAUGAAUUGACGGGGGCCCGCACAAGCGGUGGAGCAUGUGGUUUAAUUCGAUGCAACGCGAAGAACCUUACCUACUCUUGACAUCUACAGAAUUCGCUAGAGAUAGCUUAGUGCCUUCGGGAACUGUAAGACAGGUGCUGCAUGGCUGUCGUCAGCUCGUGUUGUGAAAUGUUGGGUUAAGUCCCGCAACGAGCGCAACCCUUAUCCUUGUUUGCCAGCACGUAAUGGUGGGAACUCCAGGGAGACUGCCGGUGAUAAACCGGANGAAGGUGGGGGACGACGUCAAGUCAUCAUGGCCCUUACGAGUAGGGCUACACACGUGCUACAAUGGCGCAUACAGAGGGCUGCAAGCUAGCGAUAGUGAGCGAAUCCCAAAAAGUGCGUCGUAGUCCGGAUCGGAGUCUGCAACUCGACUCCGUGAAGUCGGAAUCGCUAGUAAUCGUGAAUCANAAUGUCACGGUGAAUACGUUCCCGGGCNNUGUACACACCGCCCGUCACACCNAUGGGGAGUGGGCUG
rnacentral:rRNA from 1 species